UACGGGAGGCAGCAGUAGGGAAUCUUAGACAAUGGGGGCAACCCUGAUCUAGCCAUGCCGCGUGUGUGAUGAAGGCACCUAGNGNGAUNUACNNUAANGUNANNAAGCACUUUCGCCAGAGAUGAUAAUGACAGUAUCUGGUAAAGAAACCCCGGCUAACUCCGUGCCAGCAGCCGCGGUAAUACGGAGGGGGUUAGCGUUGUUCGGAAUUACUGGGCGUAAAGCGCACGUAGGCGGAUUAGUAAGUUAGAGGUGAAAUCCCAGGGCUCAACCCUGGAACUGCCUUUAAUACUGCUAGUCUUGAGUUCGAGAGAGGUAAGUGGAAUUCCGAGUGUAGAGGUGAAAUUCGUAGAUAUUCGGAGGAACACCAGUGGCGAAGGCGGCUUACUGGCUCGAUACUGACGCUGAGGUGCGAAAGUGUGGGGAGCAAACAGGAUUAGAUACCCUGGUAGUCCACACCGUAAACGAUGAAUGCCAGACGUCAGCAAGUAUACUUGUUGGUGUCACACCUAACGGAUUAAGCAUUCCGCCUGGGGAGUACGGUCGCAAGAUUAAAACUNAAANGAAUUGACGG
rnacentral:rRNA from 1 species